rnacentral:rRNA from 1 species
UACGUAGGGUGCGAGCGUUAAUCGGAAUUACUGGGCGUAAAGCGUGCGCAGGCGGUGAUGUAAGACCGAUGUGAAAUCCCCGGGCUUAACCUGGGAACUGCAUUGGUGACUGCAUCGCUCGAGUAUGGCAGAGGGGGGUAGAAUUCCACGUGUAGCAGUGAAAUGCGUAGAGAUGUGGAGGAAUACCGAUGGCGAAGGCAAUCCCCUGGGCCUGCACUGACGCUCAUGCACGAAAGCGUGGGGAGCAAACAGG